CUCAUUUUUUAGUCUUUUGGCUAAGAUCAAGUGUAAUAUUUGUUUUAUCAGUUCAAUAUUUGGUAUAUGAAUAAUAUGUUCACUUUGACAUUAAAUUCAUUUAUUAUGGGCAUUUUUAUGUGGAGGGUCCAUUAAGACUCUCA
rnacentral:snRNA from 1 species